CAGUAGCCGCGGUAAUACGAAGGGUGCAAGCGUUACUCGGAAUUACUGGGCGUAAAGCGUGCGUAGGUGGUUGUUUAAGUCUGUUGUGAAAGCCCUGGGCUCAACCUGGGAAUUGCAGUGGAUACUGGGCAACUAGAGUGUGGUAGAGGGUAGUGGAAUUCCCGGUGUAGCAGUGAAAUGCGUAGAGAUCGGGAGGAACAUCCAUGGCGAAGGCAGCUACCUGGACCAACACUGACACUGAGGCACGAAAGCGUGGGGAGCAAACAGGAUUAGAUACCCGGGUAGUCCCUGUCUCUUAUAC
rnacentral:rRNA from 1 species